UCAUGCCUAAAUCUAACCAUGAGGAAACAUCAGACAAACCCAAAUCGAGGGACAUUCUACAAAAUAACUGCCCUGUACUCCUUAAAAAAGUCAAUGUCAUAAAAGACUAAGGAACUGUUCCUGAUUAAAGCAGACUAACGGGGCAUGACCACUGACUACAACAUGUGAUCCAGAAUUUCUUUAGUUGUAAGAAGCAUUAUUGGGUCAGUUGACAAAAUCCGAAUAAGGCCUAUGAUCAGAUAAUUUAUACUCUAUCAAUGUCAUUUCCUUAUUUUGACUAUCACACUGUGGUUAUGAAAGAGAGAAUACUUCCUUUUAGAAAACACACACUGAGAUAUUUAGUACCAACUUACCUGAAGCUUACUUUCAAACAGUUCCAAAAAAUGUGUGUGUGUAUGCAUACAUGUAUGUAUAUGUGUAUAGGUAUGCAGAGGGAGGGAAAGAAAUCAAAUGUAAAGUGUUAACAUUUAAGGGAUCUGGGUACAGGAUAUAUGGGAAUUCUUUGUACUAGUCUUACAACUUUUAUGUAGGUCUGAAAUUAUGUCCACCAGACUUUAACCUCAUGAGAGCCUUGUGCAUCUUUGUAUUUCAAACACCUUGCACAGGACCCAGCUUGAAAAAAUGCUGAAGUGGAUGGAUGAGGCUCUUAAAUCCGGGGAGAGUUGCACCAGCUCGUGGUGUAAUAAGGAAAGCAUACUGCCAUGGAAAAGCCCAUUCCUGCCUGUACAAUAAGCAUGCUUAUUCUACCUUCAUCGACCUUUUAUGAGUCAAGCAAGUCACACUUAAAAUUACCGAGUGAUGGAAAAAUAGGAAUGAGGGUAUAGGUGUAGAUUUUAUCAUCUGGCCAGGACACAAGGCCAUUAGAUUGAUCAGCUGGUUUCAUUGGUGUGGGGAUGGCUGUAGCCUCUGGAGCAAAGUUAGCCCCACAGGCAGAGAAGAGGAUAGGGUUCUCUCAAAAAUCUGAGUUCUAGAUUCAGCCUUCACCUGCCUUUGCUUCCUACCACUCAUCCUGAGGGCUGUGUGGGUCAAAACAUUCCCCUAAACCCAUCCUAUUCGGAAGCCAAGCUGGAAACCAUAUAGUCCUUGUCAGUGUCUUCUUUCCCUCCUGGGUCUGCCCCAAACCCACCUCUCCCCACCAGCAGUGUGAGUUUCUAACGUGGGACAAGCAGUAAUAAGUGAGCUUGAUCUCAAAGAACAGAGAAGACUGAGGGAGGAGGAAGAGGAGAUUGAAGGUAUUUCAGGCAAAAGCAACAUCAUAUGCAAAGGCUUAGAAAGAUAUUCAAAAGCACAUCAACUGACAUAUCAGCUUCAUCCAAUUCUGUGUGGAAUAUGUGCCAAGGAAAGCUUUGGAUAUAAUAUAAAUAAUUUUUAGGUUGAUUUAAGUCCUGGAACUAGAAUUUAAGUCUGGUUUUUCCAUUUAUCAACUCAUAACAAAUAUUUUAUAGGUCUCUGGUCAAGUUUAUAUGAUCAGAAUGAAAAUUUUGUAGAUCCUUAUUUGAAUGAGGUACCAAUUUUUAAAAGAAAAAUAUGUGGUUUAGUAGUAUAAGAUUGCCUUUAUACUUUAGAGUUUAAUUGGCAAAACUCGUGGACCAGAUCAUGAAAAGGCAUCCACUAGGAGGUCUGGGGAGCCUUAGCUAAUUCACCUACUAAUCAUUCUUCUUUUCUUUUCUUUUUUGACAUUACCAUCGUGACCUGAGAACCUGUGUCUUUCACACAUUUUGCCUGUUACCUUGCCUUUGACUGUCCCUGGUAUGGAGAAAGCUCUUCCUUCACCUCUUAGCUCUGGGACUCAGGUGCUGCAUUUUACGAGUGACGUUGACAAGCUGGAGUGUGCCAGAGAGGAGGGACAGGGUGGGAGGAGACACCUCAUUCUACUACCAACAUUUUAGGAAACAUAUUGCUUAGCCUGAAAAAGGGUAGACAGGUACGGGUUAGGCCCUUAACCAUCCUGAUUUGCCCAGGACUGAGAAGGUUUCCAGACACAGAGCUUUCAGGGUUUUGUUUUGUUCUGUUUAAAAGAUUUUUUUGAUGUGGACCAUUUUUAAAGUCUUCAUUGAAUUUGU